UUCUGCAUCAUCAACAUUGGCAAAGAAACUGACUGCAGCUGUGGAUGAGCAGUGAGAUGAUAGCAUGUGGGGACUGGGGAGCGGCAGGGUGAGUUGGGGGAUGGCUCACACACAAGUGGGAGGGAAACGAAUGUGGCUUUUGCUUAUGGCAGUGGGUUUGUUAAGUACUGUGCUCGCUGAUAAGUGACCAUGAGGAAUAAGAAAAGGCUACUUUCAUUUUCUCUCAGGAUCUCUUCCUGGGAUCAUUUCUCUGCAUGGUAGCAAUGGAGUUAUACAUUACUAUGAUACAACAGGAAAAAACUUGUCACUGACGGGCCAAGGGCAAGCCUAGGCAAAAUAAAGAAAGCUCAGAGAGGCGGAAGAUAUAUUUGCAUGUGGCACAUUUUUCUACAACGUGAGUAUGGACAUUUUGAGUAUCUUUCAUGUUAAGUGGAUGUAGUGGUAGCUAGUCAUACUGGAAGCUGCCCCAGAAUCCUGACGUUCUCUAAGUGCUUAGGAAGAAGUGCUAGGUGCACACAUUGUGGUAAUAAUUACGCCCUUGAGCAGGAGAUAGGGAGAUUAUACGAAGACAAGGUGGGCACGCUGGGAAAAUCAGCUAAUGGUCAUUUUAUUUACCAGGAAUUUUGGAUGGUGAAGUUGGAGACGUAUGGCUUGUUGGCCAGCUCCACUGAAGAUGUUAAACAGAGGAGAGGCACGGGCAUGCAUGGGCUUUGGAACCACUGUUCUGUUAGCCUUGAGGAAAAUGAAUUAGAGAUGAGAAAAAUUGGAAAGACUGAAGUGCAUGAAAGGUUACAGCAGUUUUCAGAGGGACAUAUAUCAACGCAGCAGAUCCGUGCCUGUCUCAGCCAUCAUCAGAGAAGCUUCCUAUUGGAUGGAAAUAAAUACAGACACACACAGCUAAUGUGCAGAGAGUAUGAGAUGUUGGGAUACUCUGUCCUAAAAGGGAUGUCUCUAUCCAUCUCCUCUCAGGACUCGGAACUUUGCAGAAGAGGAGGCAGAAACAGUGUAGGAACCAGAGUGAGUGGAGGCCACCAAGGGAUCAAGGCUUUCUAA
rnacentral:lncRNA from 1 species